rnacentral:rRNA from 1 species
GAGUUUGAUCCUGGCUCAGAACGAACGCUGGCGGCAGGCCUAAUACAUGCAAGCCGAGCGAGAAGCCAUCUUCGGGUGGUGGAGAGCGGCGAACGGGUGAGUAACGCGUAGGUAUCUACCUAGUAGUGGGGAAUAACCAUUGGAAACGAUGGCUAGAACCGCAUACGCCCUGAGGGGGAAAACUGAGGUGCUAUUAGAGGAGCCUGCGUUAGAUUAGCUAGUUGGUGAGGUAAUGGCUCACCAAGGCGACGAUCUAUAGCUGGUUUGAGAGGAUGAUCAGCCACACCGGAACUGAGACACGGUCCGGACUCCUACGGGAGGCAGCAGUCGGGAAUAUUGCGCAGUGGAGGAAACUCUGACGCAGCCAUGCCGCGUGAGUGAAGAAGGUCUUUGGAUUGUAAAACUCUUUCAACUGUGAUGAUGAUGACAGUAACAGUAGAAGAAGCCCCGGCUAACUUCGUGCCAGCAGCCGCGGUAAUACGAAGGGGGCUAGCGUUGUUCGGAAUUACUGGGCGUAAGGGGUACGUAGGCGGUUUGACCAGUCAGAUGUGAAAUCCCAGGGCUCAACCUUGGAACUGCAUUUGAUACUGUCAAACUAGAAUUCGAGAGAGGAUAGUGGAAUUUCCAGUGUAGAGGUGAUAUUCGUAGAUACUGGAAGGAACACCAGAGGCGAAGGCGACUAUCUGGAUCGAUAUUGACGCUGAGGUACGAAAGUGUGGGUAGCAAACAGGAUUAGAUACCCUGGUAGUCCACACCGUAAACGAUGAAUGCUAACUGUCAGGUAAGAAUGAUUAUUUGGUGGUACAGCUAACGCUUUAAGCAUUCCGCCUGGGGAGUACGGUCGCAAGAUUAAAACUCAAAGGAAUUGACGG